GUACCUAAUUCAGCAACAGCACCACUCUCAAACAGCAAAGACUCAGGCUUGUCUCUUUUCUCAAGCAAAACCGACACCGCUUGAGUUGAGUUCAGGCGCUUGUAAACACUGAACGAUUUACUCAACACCAUUUUCAACACUGCAAUUUGUUGGAAGCAUCGUUUACCAUCGUGGACAACAAAAUCAGUGGUUUUUCAUCCCAUGCUUAGAGAAAUACCGUUAAAAAGGCAUUAUUUCUUCUUGGAAAAUUACAAGAAAAUUUCAUAAACAGGAAGGAAUAUCGUUAAUCAAGC